rnacentral:piRNA from 1 species
UNUCAAUGUCUACGCACUUUUAGUCAGUC